rnacentral:rRNA from 1 species
AGCAGUCGCCGCGGUAAUACAGAGGGUGCGAGCGUUAAUCGGAUUUACUGGGCGUAAAGCGUGCGCAGGCGGUUAUAUAAGACAGAUGUGAAAUCCCCGGGCUCAACCUGGGAACUGCAUUUGUGACUGUAUAGCUAGAGUACGGCAGAGGGGGAUGGAAUUCCGCGUGUAGCAGUGAAAUGCGUAGAUAUGCGGAGGAACACCGAUGGCGAAGGCAAUCCCCUGGGCCUGUACUGACGCUUAUGCACGAAAGCGUGGGGAGCAAACAGGAUUAGAUACCCGCGUAGUCCCUGUCUCUUAUAC